rnacentral:lncRNA from 1 species
CUUUUUUUUUUUUUUUUUUUUUUCCCUAUGAGGAACAGGGACUUGAAAAGGGUGAUGUUUCCUCCUUGGGUUUCUAGGACCCAACUCUUGCCUCAGUUUCCCUCAAGUCCAUUGCCACCCAUUUUAUCGAGGAGGAUCCUUUUCUGUCUGCUGCCUUUUGCAAUGAGCAGAAUCCCUCAGCCUGUGCAGUUCACAUACCUGCUUCCUUGUUUUCUUCAUUUCCCAUGAUGCAGAUGUGGGCUCUCACCAAGACUCAGUGAGGUGAGUGAGGUACUUGCCUCUAGCAUGAACUAUAGGUAAGGGGGCAUCAAAAACCUCAGUAAUCAAGGUAAAUGCUUCUAUCUCCUUGCCCUGUCUCACAAAAGGUCAAGCUGAAUCAGAAGAGGAGUUGGCAGGAGAGUUUGUGCUGUGGCAUCUUCACCAGAAGCCCUCCAGCCACCUGGACAUCUGCCCCCCAGCUGCCUCGCCCUGGGACCAUGUCUUCAACAGUAGCUCCCAGGGCUUGUCCAGAGGCCCUGGUUGGAAGGCACCCCCCACCUCAGAGGCAGCAGGUGUGGCUUUAGGCACAAGGACAGCAAAGUUCUCAAGCUUGGGGGUCCAGGGUGUCUUUCUCAGGGCAAAUCACUCAGAGAGGUGACAUCACCUUAAUGCUAUAGCCACGACUGUCACCUCACGCAGCAAUCUUUGUCGCUGGCAGGGAGGCGACACUGAUCGAGACAGAAUUCUAUAUGAUUUAAGCUUUUCUUACUUGUCUUCACUUAUACCUGGAUGGCAUCUGCUACAAGUUCUUUCUCAUUGUUAGUAAACCCAUAGAAGCCUGGAGAAGACAUCCAAGGGUGAUUAUUCAUGCCUGAGCUAAUCUCUUAGGAUCCCGCUGGGAGAUGGGCAGUGAGGGGUCAGACGUCAGAGGUCAGAGGUCAGCACCAGGAGCCCCUCGGGCUAGAUGGAACCAUGAGGAUCCGCCCAUUCAUUCCGAUGUAGAGUACGUAGAGAGCAUCAGAGACAGCAGGAUUUGGACCUGAACUUACUCCAAGGGGGCUCAGGGGACUUUUGACGAGGCACCGCACCUCUUUGGAGCAGGUGGUUGGUCUCUUCUUCCUCUAUAAUCAAACAGAAAUUUUUUGCCGCUGCGCCAUAACAGGCUGCUGCUUGGGAUCCCAGAACCACUGCUUUUUCAGUCUCCCUCUGCUCAGCAUGGACUCUGGAUCCCCAGCCAGGAAGCCCUGCCCUGCCUCUCUCUGAACACAGGGGGUCCAGGGAGGCUGCGCCCUUAGGGAGCCUCAGGAGCUGCCAGAGAUGUGUGUGCACAGUGGGGUGUGGAGAACGGCAGCCUCUUCUGAUCUCUAUGCAAGGGAUCUGAAAGACUUGCUUUAAAACCUCUAGUGAAAUUACUUUGUCUAUUGACUAAACAGGUGAAAGUGAAAGGGGACUGUAGAUUUUCCUUAAGCAACAGCUAUUAUCUCCUCCUUUUCUUUUCUCCUCGGUAAGCAGUGCCCCCAGUUGUAAGCAUCACAUGUAAUUUAUUGUCCCACUUUACAUGUUCCUUGUGACUACGAAUAUUAUGCUUGGAUGAGAGUCCAUCAUACCGCAAUCGACUUGGGCUCCAAAUUCUUUUACAACCGUGGAAUUUUUCUAGAAUGAAUGCAUUGUUAUAAAUCGCAUUUCCAGACCCCAGCCUGGGGUUUGCCUUUGGUUUUCAGCUCCACGACUUACCAACAAAGUGAUCUUAGGCAAGUCAUUGGUACUCAUUUUUUUUUUCCUUUUUUUUUUUAAUGGCUGCAUCAGUGGCAUAUGGAAGUUCCUGGGCCAGAGGUUGAAUCAGAGCUGUGGCUGCAGGCCAGUGCCACAGCCACGGCAACACUGGAUCUGAGCUGCCUCUGUGGUCUCAGCUGCAGCUUGCUGCAAUGCAGGAUGCUUAACCCAUUAAGCAAGGUCAGGGAUGGAACCUGCAUCCUCAUAGAGACAAUGGCUGGUACUUGACCUGCUGAGCCGCAACGGGAACUCCUAGUCACGGGUACUCUUUGAUCCUUAGUUUCAUCUACCAUCGACCAUAAAUUGGAGACACUGAGGUAAAGCUGUCCUAACUCCCCAAGAUUUGUUGGGACCCCCGAGAUUAUUUUGUAAUAGCAUAUGGUAAAGGUAAACUAUAAAACCCCAUCUAAAUGUUAGCUUACUCUUGAUGGAACAUUGGUCGCAAUUGCAGAAGCUAUUUUGGGCUCUCUGCUUAUGAGGGGUGGCAGUUGGAAAUCUAAUCUGCUUUGGCCAAUUUUCUUGUUUUCCAGCAUUAGAUAAUCCACACUCCUCUGUGCCCUGCAUUUCUUUUCAUUCAACAGCGAGCGAAGCCUGUUGUGCUGGCCUGCCCUCCCUUGACUCUUGCGUCAUUUUGCUUUUACCGUUUCCAAGAUGACAUGUGGGACUUAAAUUAUUUUAGUGGCCAUCUGAUUUAUUGAUGUUGCACAAACAGGAGGAUUCAAGUAACACACUCAGUGUCAAGUUAUAUGUUGAGGGAAACUCACGUUUAUUAGAAAGCUUCCCAGUGCUCAUGACGGUCCACGCGCAUCUGAAGAUGAGGUUAGGGCUGAAUUGGAGGCUAAGAUCACAUCAGUCACCUCCUUCCUUUUCCUUUGUAAUAAUGUCCCGAGGCUUCUCAUGGGAUGUGUUCUUAGUGGUGAUAAGAAGGGGACACUGGACUGGGAGGGACCUACAAAAUGUCGUGAUGAGAAAAAAAAUCAGCAUAUAAUUCUAAGUAAAAUACACACUUAACCUAGGUUGGAAACACCCGGAGCCUGCUCCUAUGAGGCCCACAUGACAGCAAGGGCCAUGAAUCUUUAAACUUUUCACCCAUAUAACCCUAGUGGGAGUGGACUGGUGGAGGCUUUCUGGAGAGUAAUCAGGCAUGACUUCAUCAAAUUAAGAAUACACAUACCCUCUGACCCAGUAAUUCCAGCGCUGGGGAUAGAUUGCAAAGGGGACAUAUAUACUCACAAUAAAGUUAUUUGCAGUGAUUGCGAGGAGCUAACUGCAUCCUGGCCAACCAUUCCUGGAGCAGGGGAGGGUACAAUGUCCUGGCUAUUUACCGCUGGAGCCCUGAAGAAGUUAAGCAGCCAUUGAUUAGAUGUAAACAUAAUAACUUAGAUGAAUCCUAAAAGCAGUGUUCUUGAAAAAAAGGAAGACAUAGAAUGAGAUCUAUAACACAACAUUUACACAAGUUAAAAAUGCAUGCAUACAAAACAAUACCCAUUUGCAUUAAUACAUACAAAUAAACAGAUACACAAUGAACCAUUAGAAUGAUUGAGGUAAGAGUGGGGAGAUGGAUAUGCAAAUGAAAGAAAAUAAAUAAUACAGAAAAUAAGAAGGAGGCCUUGAAUGGAAAAAUAUAAGAAGAAUGAUUUACUCAAUUCUCUGCACCUGAGGUCCAAAAGAAAUAAAUUAAUAAAAAUAUGAAACUUCUGAGGUUUCUGAGUUAGUCUGGGCUCCACAGUCUGCAAUGACCCAAUGGGACCAAUACUAAAAGGAUGUUCUGUUGAAUUAAAUAAGACAAAAAACUAGAACAACCUGUUUCAUAUCGUUGUCUCAUUUGGGUCUCACCUGAAUCCCUGUUGGUCCUCAUGGCAGUUCAGCAGUUCUUACAUUUUUCUCUUGGACAUUCUAGCUCGUGUCCCACUUGACAUCCUUCCUUAAACUUCACUCUCUUUAAGGCUUUAACCCUGGUUCUGUCUCCUCCCUUUCUAUCAUCACAUGAGCUCACAGACAACUCCUGGAGAUCAGCGUUGUUUGUUCUGUUUUGGGCUCUUGAUUGCAGGCAACAGAAAUUAGGGAGUUCCCGUCGUGGCGCAGUGGUUAACGAAUCCGACUAGGAACCUUGAGGUUGCAGGUUCGAUCCCUGCCCUUGCUCAGUGGGUUAACCAUCCGUCGUUGCCGUGACCUGUGGUGUAGGUCGCAGACGCGUCUCAUAUCCCGAGUUGCUGUGGCUGUGGUGUAGGCUGGCAGCUACAGCUCUGAUUAGAACCUCCCAUGUGCCGUGGGAGGAGCCCAAGAAAUGGCAAAAAGAAAAAAAAAAAAAAAAAAGAAAAGAAAUUAGCCUUGUGUCUUUAGCAAAAAAAAAAAGGCUUUAAGGAUGUGGAGACCAAGAGAAUCCACAGGAGGCUGGAGGAGCAAGCUUGGAAAAUAAGCAGGACUCAUAGGGGGUCUGGAGGCUGGGCUGCAGGUAGAGUUUGCCCAGAUGUCCCCAUGGCUACUGCUUCUGAAACUACUGCCACCUGUUGUGACUCAGAGGGUUAAGGACCAGACAUUGUCUCCGUGAGGAUGCAAGUUUGAUUCUUGGCCUAAUUCAGUGGGUUAAGGAUCUGGUGUUGCUGCAAGCUGCUCAGAUCCAGGGUUGCUGUGAUUGUGGCUUAGGUCUCAGCUGCAGUGCUGAUUUAACCCUUAGCCUAGGAAUUUCCAUAUGC